rnacentral:tRNA from 1 species
GUGUCGGCUGGGCAUUGGCGAGCCCCCGUGGCUGUAACCCACCCGCCUUUGGGCUGUGCAGGUUCAACUCCUGCCCGACACA